CCUACGGGGGGCAGCAGUGGGGAAUUUUCCGCAAUGGGCGAAAGCCUGACGGAGCAAUACCGCGUGAGGGAGGAAGGUUCUUGGAUCGUAAACCUCUUUUCUCUGGGAAGAUAAUGACGGUACCAGAGGAAUAAGCAUCGGCUAACUCCGUGCCAGCAGCCGCGGUAAUACGGAGGAUGCAAGCGUUAUCCGGAAUGAUUGGGCGUAAAGAGUCCGUAGGUGGUAUUACAAGUCUGUGGUUAAAGCGCGAAGCUCAACUUCGUAAAGGCCAUGGAAACUGUGAAACUAGAGUGGGAUAGGGGUAGAGGGAAUUCUUGGUGUAGCGGUGAAAUGCGUAGAUAUCAAGAAGAACACCGGUGGCGAAAGCGCUCUACUGGAUCUUAACUGACACUGAGGGACGAAAGCUAGGGGAGCGAAAGGGAUUAGAUACCCCGGUAGUC
rnacentral:rRNA from 1 species